rnacentral:rRNA from 1 species
GCAAGUCGAACGGUAACAGGAAGUGCUUGCACUUCGCUGACGAGUGGCGGACGGGUGAGUAAUGCUUGGGAACUUGCCUUUGCGAGGGGGAUAACAGUUGGAAACGACUGCUAAUACCGCAUAAUGUCUUUGGACCAAACGGGGCUUAGGCUCCGGCGCAAAGAGAGGCCCAAGUGAGAUUAGCUAGUUGGUAAGGUAACGGCUUACCAAGGCGACGAUCUCUAGCUGUUCUGAGAGGAAGAUC